CCCAGGUAGGGACAAGUAUAGAGAGUGAAUCUGGCAAGUUCAAGGUAAGAUUUUCUAUUUGACAUAUCAGCAGAGCCAGACAAGAGAGAGUCCAUCACUACAGAGUGAUUCACAGAAAAAAAAAUGAGAACAGAUUAUUCCAAUCUGCCUCGCCACUGGUUCAGCACAGCAGCAGCGUUAAAGUGUUAAAAGCCAAGAAGAAGCCUUUUCUAGAAGAUCUCAGAAGGAAUGAUGGUAUCUGCGUAUUUACAUAAUACUGGUGUCUGUGGCAGGCCUGGCUUAGCAGAUGAAGAAAUGGGAGCUGAGAGAAUUGGAAGACGCCCGCCCUAGGUUACAAAGCAAGUCUACACAGAGUGCAGAACCAUAGUUCCCAAUUCCCACCGAUCCUCCGCCUCCUAGCACUCAGCUUGAUCAUCCUUUGCAUUGACCUUGGAAGCCCCUCUUGGAGCCCUCCCUCCCAGGACACACUCUCAGAGGGAGGCACGCCCUAACAAGGGAGGGCUUCUGUAGUCAAGAGGAACCCUUCUUCACUCUGACCCCUCUACAAGCUGGGUCACAGCUAUCCCUCAUGCAGUUGUCACACUUGGCACCUGGCUGGCAUGUGCCUCUGGAAUGGAAAGUCAAGAGACUUUCAAAGUUUCAUAUACAAUAACAGGAAAAAAAUUAAACAAAGGAACAUUUCUAGCAGUGGUCCCCACCUCUGAGCUGUUCCUUUGCGUUGAUGGCCAAGGCUCUGCAUACCUAAAAUCCCUGGAGAACAGGGGAGACUAUAAACCCACAUCCACUGUUUGCUCUGCCCCACAGUGGAGGAAAUACUAACUGUUAAAAAACUUUCGAUUCUAGCAUAGUUGCUGCAUUUCAGAAUAUUCUAGAAUGGCAAAUGGAAUUGAGAAGGUGAAAAAUAAUGAAACUAUAGUGUAUUUAUCUCGUAACUCCUGCCACUGCAUUAGAGCAGACUUUGCUAGAAAAAUAUUGAAGUAGCAUUUUCACGUUUUAGUUUCGACAUAUAAAGAACAAUAAAGUUAGCAGACUAUAGGUUCUUUGUAAGUUGAGGCUGGAGAAUAGGAUUUAAAGGGAAAAGAAAAUUUGUCAGACAGGAUGAGACAUGCCUAUAAUCCCAGACUGAAGCAGGAGGAUCAUCAAGAGUUCAAGGCCCAUUUGGGCUACAUAGUGAGAUCAUAUCUCAAACCCAAACCCAAACAAGACAACAAGAAAAUUAGCCAGAUUCAUUCCAGCAGGAGAACCUGUGGUUGUUAUCUCUGAGAUGGAUCUGGAGCCUGUCCACCUCUCACCGCCUCUGUCGGUACCUGUCUGCUACUGAGCGGUAUGCAGAUUGCUGAGGAGAUCGACCUGCUUCAACGUGAACAGCUACCCACAGAGCGACUCUCCAGGCAGCAGACAAAAGGGCAGGCCAUUAUUCACCAGAAGGUUAUGUCCACAUUAACACUUUUGAAGAAAAGAAGAAGAAGGAAGGAAGAAGGGUCAGAAGGAAGGGAGGAGGAGGAGGCAGCACAAGCUCAUUGUACUUGGUCUUGUUUUUAGGACGAGGUUUUCAAAAACACUGGUUGCUGAGCUGACACCACAUGUAGAAGAAACGGCCUCGAGAGAACAUUGCAAAAUUGCAACAUGCUUGGGAUGGUCGGAAUUUAACUUUGUGUGAUCAUCACCCUAAAAAUAGUUUCCUUUCUUUUGCUAAUAACCUUUGAGAAUGCUGAUAAAGUUCGCUGAGAGGGUCAAAAGAGGAAAGCUCAUAAAUCACAGCCUUCCACUCACUCACAAAGCCACAAACAUGCAUAUUGGGAAACGGCAAAAAAAUUACAGGGACACAAGUUCUGUGAUGUGAAAGGGUAGGAAGGUUUUAUCCUUUUCCUGCUUGAGCCAGGCGGAGGGCUUGAAGUGAAUCCUGCCUAAUGAUCUCUAUCUAAAUCAACUCUGAUAGUGCCAGUUCACAUACAUUGUUAACUUACUA